GACGAACGCUGGCGGCGUGCCUAAUACAUGCAAGUAGAACGCUGAAGGAGGAGCUUGCUUCUCUGGAUGAGUUGCGAACGGGUGAGUAACGCGUAGGUAACCUGCCUGGUAGCGGGGGAUAACUAUUGGAAACGAUAGCUAAUACCGCAUAAGAGUAGAUGUUGCAUGACAUUUGCUUAAAAGGUGCAAUUGCAUCACUACCAGAUGGACCUGCGUUGUAUUAGUUAGUUGGUGGGGUAACGGCUCACCAAGGCGACGAUACAUAGCCGACCUGAGAGGGGGAACGGCCACACUGGGACUGAGAAACGGCCCAUACUCCGACAGGAGGCAGCAGUAGGGAAACUUCGGCAAUGGACGGAAGUCUGAACGAGCAACGCCGCGGGAGUGAAGAAGGUUUUCGGAUCGUAAAGCUCAGUUGUAAGGGAAGAACGAGUGUGAGAGUGGAAAGUUCACACUGUGACGGUAUCUUAGCAGAAAGGGACGGCUAACUACGUG
rnacentral:rRNA from 1 species